AGAGUUUGAUCCUGGCUCAGGAUGAACGCUAGCGGCAGGCCUAACACAUGCAAGUCGAGGGGUAACAGGGAGCUUGCUCCGCUGACGACCGGCGCACGGGUGCGCACCGCGUAUGGAACCUGCCCUCCGCAGGGGAAUAGCCCAGGGAAACUUGGAUUAAUGCCCCGUAGCAUCACGCCCCCGCAUGGGCGGCGUGAUUAGAGCCUUCGGGCGGCGGAGGAUGGCCAUGCGUCCCAUUAGCUUGAUGGUAGGGUAACGGCCUACCAUGGCCGCGAUGGGUAGGGGCCCUGAGAGGGGGAUCCCCCACACUGGUACUGAGACACGGACCAGACUCCUACGGGAGGCAGCAGUGAGGAAUAUUGGACAAUGGGCGGGAGCCUGAUCCAGCCAUGCCGCGUGCAGGAAGAAUGCCCUAUGGGUAGUAAACUGCUUUUAUACGGGAAGAACAAGGGGUACGUGUACCCUUCUGACGGUACCGUAAGAAUAAGGACCGGCUAACUCCGUGCCAGCAGCCGCGGUAAUACGGAGGGUCCGAGCGUUAUCCGGAAUCAUUGGGUUUAAAGGGUCCGUAGGCGGGCCGUUAAGUCAGGGGUGAAAGUCUGCGGCUCAACCGUAGAAAUGCCUUUGAUACUGGCGGUCUUGAGUCAUGGUGAAGUUGCCGGAAUAUGUAGUGUAGCGGUGAAAUGCAUAGAUAUUACAUAGAACACCGAUUGCGAAGGCAGGUGGCUAACCAUUGACUGACGCUGAUGGACGAAAGCGUGGGGAGCGAACAGGAUUAGAUACCCUAGUAGUCC
rnacentral:rRNA from 1 species